rnacentral:rRNA from 1 species
GAACGGCAGACACAAGGAGCAAUCCUGGCUUCCAGUGGCGAACGGGUGAGUAAUACAUCGGAACGUGCCCAAUCGUGGGGGAUAACGCAGCCAAAGCUGUGCUAAUACCGCAUACGAUCUACGGAUGAAAGCAGGGGAUCGCAAGACCUUGCGCGAAUGGAGCGGCCGAUGGCAGAUUAAGUAGUUGGUGAGGUAAAGGCUCACCAAGCCUUCGAUCUGUAGCUGGUCUGAGAGGACGACCAGCCACACUGGGACUGAGACACGGCCCAGACUCCUACGGGAGGCAGCAGUGGGGAAUUUUGGACAAUGGGCGAAAGCCUGAUCCAGCCAUGCCGCGUGCAGGAUGAAGGCCUUCGGGUUGUAAACUGCUUUUGUACGGAACGAAACGGCUCUUUCUAAUAAAGAGGGCUAAUGACGGUACCGUAAGAAUAAGCACCGGCUAACUACGUGCCAGCAACCGCGGUAAUACGUAGGGGUGCAAGCGUUAAUCGGAAUUACUGGGCGUAAAGCGUGCGCAGGCGGGUAAUGUAAGACAGUUGUGAAACCCCGGCGCUCCACCCUGGGGAACUGCAUCUGUGGAAUGCUUUGCUGGGAGUACGGGUAGAAGGGGGAAGGGAAUUUCCUCGUGGUACCAAUGGAAAUGCCGUUAAAUAUGCGGAGGAAAAACCGAUGGGGGAAGGGCAUC